CCACACUUCGGUACCGGCCGAGGGAGUGAGCCCAGAGAAAAGGAAGGGAGGAAAAGAGAGGAGCAAGAGUCAGCAGGCCAGAAGCUGGGCGCAGCAAAGCGAGUGCGGGGAACCCGGGGUUAAACGGAACGACUCCUCCCUCCCCCACCUCCGCCGGAGGGAAGGGGCGGCGGGCGGCGGCGGCGGCGGCGGCGCGUGCGUCCGCGCCUGCGCCGGGCCGGGCGCGGGAGCGCGUGCGGCGGUUGGGGCCGGCGGCCGGUCUGCGUGGGCGCGCGCCCGGCCGGACCGCCUCGGACCCUUGUGGGGAGGCAGGCGCGCCGGGGUGGUGUCUCUCGCCCCGCGGCGUGCGGGCGACCGCCGCUCCCCUCCUAAUUUUACUUUUUUCAAGCAAUUAAGGAGGCAUUUUGAUGAGACGUCCCGGUCGUGGUCAGCGCCGCGGUCACCCACCGGGGGGCACUUUUGUCCCCAGCGUCUGGCCGGGCCGCGCCCCGCCUAGCGCGCAUCCCUCCCCGGGGCAGCAUCGCUUCGCUGGAUCCGCCCCGGCCGGCCCAGGGCCUCACCCGGCGGCCUAGCCCCGGCCGGCUCCGGGCCAGCAGUGUGCCCCUGGUCCCGUUGUCGGGGCCCUCUCGGGGUGUUCCCCGCUCCCCCCAUCACUUAGGUUGGCCAGCUCUGUCUGGGACAGGCUGCUGCUGACUUCAGGGACUUUAAACUCCGCUUGCUCGACCGCACCCAGAGCAAACAGUUUCCGAACCAGGUUUGGCUUAGGUUGCUCUUGAGAAACGCAGCUGCGAGCCUGAGUUAUCUGAAUGCUUGCGUGCUGCGUGGACUGCCUUGUAACUUUUAACUUCCUGGUUUAAAAAUGUGUAAAAGCAAAGCAGAGCUGAAAAUCGGGGCUCGACACGUGGGACGGGAGUCCAGUCCGCAUGCGUAAUACCCUGUGUGCCUUUCCUCCCCCAAGUCCGAGUGCCGCUUGGUUUUUCCGGUCUCUCGGCGGUCCCAUUGGGCGCGUUGGCCCUUUGAGCCAUGGGCUCCAGGUCCAGACGCGGCAGCGGUGACCACAGCUGGCCGGGCGGCCAGGCGCCACCCCCUAGGCUUUGAGGGCGGAAGAGUCCGCCCUUCGGCGGCGAAGGUGGCCGCUGCCGCCCACGCGGGCUCCCGGAGACCCGGGACCGUCGGAGCAGUCCAGCUCCCAGCUGAUGGCCUGAUAAAGCAGUGGAAGAUGGCCCAAGUGCUUGGACUGCUGCCACGUGGGAGACCCAGAAGAAGCUUCUGGCUUUGGAUCCGCCCAGCUCCAGCCGUUACAGCCAUUUGGGGAGUGAACCAGUGAAUGGAAGAUCUCUAUCUCUUCCUCUGUCUGUAACUACCUCUCAAUUAAAUAAAGCUUUUUAAAAAAAAA